AACGAACGCUGGCGGCAGGCUUAACACAUGCAAGUCGAACGCAUGCCUUCGGGCAUGAGUGGCAGACGGGUGAGUAACGCGUGGGAACCUACCCCUUGGUACGGGAUAGCUCCGGGAAACUGGAGAUAAUACCGUAUGUGUCCUGAGGGACAAAGAUUCAUCGCCAAGGGAUGGGCCCGCGUCGGAUUAGCUAGUUGGUGGGGUAACGGCCUACCAAGGCGACGAUCCGUAGCUGGUCUAAGAGGAUGAUCAGCCACAUUGGGACUGAGACACGGCCCAAACUCCUACGGGAGGCAGCAGUGGGGAAUAGUGGACAAUGGGCGCAAGCCUGAUCCAGCCAUGCCGCGUGAGUGAUGAAGGCCAUAGGGUUGUAAAGCUCUUUCACCGGUGACGAUAAUGACGGUAACCGGAGAAGAAGCCCCGGCUAACUUCGUG
rnacentral:rRNA from 1 species